rnacentral:rRNA from 1 species
AGGAAUAUUGGUCAAUGGACGCAAGUCUGAACCAGCCAUGCCGCGUGAAGGAUUAAGGCCCUCUGGGUUGUAAACUUCUUUUAUAGGGGAAGAAAUGUGACGGCUCUCCGUCACUUGAAGGUACCCUGGGAAUAAGCACCGGCUAACUCCGUUCCAGCAGCCGCGGUAAUACGGAAGGUGCAAGCCUUAUCCGGAUUCACUGGGUUUAAAGGGUGCGUAGGUGGGCAGAUAAGUCAGUGGUGAAAUCUUCCGGCUUAACCGGGAAACUGCCGUUAUCUCUACUUGUCUUUAAUAUUGCGGAGGUAAGCGGAAUAUGUCAUGUAGCGGUGCAAUGCUUAGAUAUGACAUAGAACACCAAUUGCGAAG